UACGUAGGGGCAAGCGUUGUCCGGAUUUAUUGGGCGUAAAGAGCGUGUAGGCGGCUAUACAGGUCCGUUGUGAAAACUGGAGGCUUAACCUCCAGACGUCGAUGGAAACCGUAUGGCUAGAGUCCGGAAGAGGAGAGUGGAAUUCCUGGUGUAGCGGUGAAAUGCGCAGAUAUCAGGAAGAACACCCGUGGCGAAGGCGGCUCUCUGGGACGGUACUGACGCUGAGACGCGAAAGCGUGGGGAGCGAACAGG
rnacentral:rRNA from 1 species